UCCGGAAAAUAUGGUUCAGAUUUAGCAUCCAUACAUGUUGAGUGCAUCAGUAUCAAAACCUGCAUCAUUUAUACAAAGUUGAUAAACACUAAACCAAAAACUAAGAUGUGUCCAUCAAAGGGCAUCUGCUCCAAAAAAAAUUAACCAACUCCAAAAACCUUAAAUGUAUCAUCAUUCAGCAUCUGAAACCUAUGGCUCAGAUUAAGCAUUUGAUCCUGUCAACUGCAUAUCUAUCAUCAGACACACCUGUCAUGCAAGUAUGGUGGAGUUAGGACCAGUAGUAAGUAAGAUAUAGUCAUCAAAUGGCACCUGCUCCAAAAACUUUGCUCUGCUCUUAACAUUUUUAAAGCCAACAUCCAGAAUUCAAGUUCCAGAUUCAGCAUCCAAGUCUUAAAAGUUCAUUAGUUUGUCCAGAUGCACCAUCCAUGCAAGUUUGAUGAAGGUAAGUUAAUUAAUAAUUUAGAUACAAGACCUGCACCACAAACUUUUACCACGUCCAGACGCCAACGGUAUAACAUAAGCUCCAGUCAACCUCGUGUCAGUGAGCUAAAAAAGUUUUGAUUAAAUGUCAAUUGCCACUUGCCCCAAUGGGAUUUACAUAAAUCAUUUGCAAUGUUAUGAUAUGCAUGUGACAUGAUUAAGUACGAUAAUUAAAACGUUACUGUAGUGACGUCUAUGAUCAAUACAGUAUAAUGAAAAUUACAGCUUAUAGUUUCGUUUAACAUCUUUAAUCUUCUCAUGAAAUACACGACAUUUUCAUUUCCGCAUCUUCAGCCUCUUUGCACACAGAUAGCAACAGACUUGAUGGCUCGUGCCAUCGUGAAUGAUGCUGCCUGUUUUAGCUCUUCUCAAACACAGGCCAUUUGGACCUUUCUACAUGGCAAAUUGCUGCGGUAGGUAAGCAGAGAAUGUCGCAACUUGGUGUUCUAGACAAGUGGUUUACGAGGGCAUGGUGCCCUGGCUGUAUGGACACACAAUUGAGUAAAAGUUGUCCUUAAACUUCUUGGUAGAGUUCAUGUCUUGAGUGUGACAACUUCAACAUCUUAGCAGAAUUCGAUGGAGAAUGCAUCUUCCAUUUUCGUUCGCCAGACUGGACGAAUCUUCAAGCAGAAGAUACAGUGGCGUUGAAGGGAGAUUCAAAACUGUUACAAAUGAGGAAAUAGAGAAAUUUUUCGACUCCAGGCAAGCAAAAUCAACAAAAAGAAAUACAGCAUGGGGAUUUUUCAAGAUUGGAACAUGGAGAUCUAUGGUUCUGUACUAAUGGUGCAACAUUAGACCUGCAAACAGCAAAUGUGUCAACUCUUGCCAGUCAUCUCUCGUGAUUUUAUUGUGAAGCCAGCCCCAAAGAAAAAGUUGAUGAUGAUGUUUAGCCUUUGUACCACAAAAAUACUUUGAUCAAUAUCAAAGGAGCAAUAAAUCGCCAUCUUGCUGACAUUCAGAGAGAUGUAAAUAUAGUCCAUGACAAGGAGUUCAGAACAGCCAAUGGAAUCUUGGAUGGUUUCUUUAAAGAGCGAACCUGACUUGAUCUGUCAAAGCCAACAUCACACAAAGAUAUUAUCGAGAUACAUGAUCUGCAGAAGAUUUAUAAAUACCUCCAAGGUGCCACAUCAUCACCAGUGGUUUUGCGCCAUGCUGUAUGGUACUUUCUGUCCAUCAAUUUUAUUACCAUAGGUUUAGAGUUCCACCAUAAGUUUAAUCAUAACAGCUUUGUCUUCUGCACAGAUAAAACUUGCCAAUAUGCUGCAUUACAACACAAAACAUUACAAAAUAAUCAUCAAGGUGGUGUAGAUGCCGAUGACAGCCAUACAGACAAGAUAAUGUACGCAACUGAUAAUGAAAACUGCUGUCAUGUUUAUCUCUUAAAGUUACUGAUGUCAAAAACAGAUUCAAAUGCUACAAAUCUUUUCAACCAAUACAUAUAAGAGAGAGUUCAUUCUGAUAUUUGGUAUUCAGCAAAACCCCUGCCAAAGCGCACUUUCAACAAGUCUCUCGGGGAGAUUUGCUUUGCUGCUGGUGUGGAGCAUAAAUACACAUCCCACUGUUUACGGGCCACUGCAAACACUUACCUUAAUGAUCAGGGAUUUGAAGCACGACACAUCAUGUUCAUGUCGAACCAAAGGAAUGAGAGUUCAAUGAGGUCAUAUAACAGAUCGCUCUCCUCUAAGCAAAAAAAAAAAAGCAUUCUGCGAUGGCGUCUGCAUCUUCAUCCCCUUUUACGAUCGUAGCUCUUCCACCGCUGUCGACCAGGUUCUCGAACUUGCCACCACGAACCCAUGAAAAUCAGGCUCAACUUGAAAACUUACCGUCACCAUCUGCACAUGAGACCACAACUCUCAUAUCGUCAAAUUCCACAGCCACAACAUCGUCCUCCAUGCCAGCAACAUUGAAAACAGUUAACAUGAACAUGCAAAACAUUAAUCCAACAGCUGGGUUUUUCAAUAAUGCAAACUUUAGGGAGAGCACAUUUCGUUUUACUCAGUUGUGCUUACUGUAUUGUUACGUGUUGAUAAUGUUU